rnacentral:lncRNA from 1 species
CCAGUUGUACAAAGGAGGUUAACUAGUCGUGCCUGCUCCGAAGUUCGCGUCUACACCGUGGGAUCUGACGACUGUUGUUUCUUCACGAAAUGGCAUCGGAGAGUCUAUCCUCGUCAGCGUCUGCCUCGGUAAUCCCCAAACAGAUGCUUUUCAACAUUUCAGUAUAAUCCUUGAUUAUAAACAUAUUGACGAUUUUGCUUUCGCAAUAUCUUCAAUGUCGAAAUUCAGCAAAACCUGCACAGUGAGCAUUACUGUAGAAAGUAUGAAUAUAAAAUGAUUAAUAAUUUUGUAGAUUUUUUGGGAAAUUGAGUAUGCAUGCAGCCGUAAUAUCAAACACAAAAUAUAGUGGAAUAAAAGCAACGAAGAAUGUAGUGAUAAGAUCAAAAAAAGAGAAAAAUGAGUAUGUUAAACUGUGAGUAAGAUGAAAUGGUCGGUUAACGCUGAAAACGUGUCUAAUACCAAUUUGUUAAAAAUCGUCCAUGCUCGAACAUGGAGGUCCAGCCAGACCAGGAGAGAUUUGCUAAACAUAGUCCACUUAUCCAGAAUCUCCACCACCAACUUGGCUCCAGCGUUCGCUUAGGUGUUUCUACUCGAUACAGCAUUACAUGAGCGUAUUUCAUACGGUAUUUAUGUUCGGCUCCUGCAGCCGAGCGGCGACAAAGCGCCCACGACGACAUCGCCUCGGUGGUGCCGCCGUUCCACCCUCCACAAAAUCAGAUUUUGCUCUCACGUUG